CACUCGCCAUACCAGUUUGUCAAAGCCUGAUCUCGUCAGAUUCAGAAGCUAAGCAAGGCCGGGCCUGAUUAGUGUUUCUAUGAGAGACCACUGUCAGGUUCCACAGUGC
rnacentral:rRNA from 1 species